UACGAAGGGGGGCUAGCGUUGCUCGGAAUUACUGGGCGUAAAGGGCGCGUAGGCGGAUAGUUUAGUCAGAGGUAAAAGCCCAGGGCUCAACCUUGGAACUGCCUUUGAUACUGGCUAUCUUGAGUACGGGAGAGGUGUGUGGAACUCCGAGUGUAGAGGUGAAAUUCGUAGAUAUUCGCAAGAACACCAGUGGCGAAGGCGGCUCACUGGCCCGGUACUGACGCUGAGGUGCGAAAGCGUGGGGAGCAAACAGG
rnacentral:rRNA from 1 species